GUCAGAUGAACGCUGGCGGCGUGCUUAACACAUGCAAGUCGAACGAUGAAGCCCAGCUUGCUGGGUGGAUUAGUGGCGAACGGGUGAGUAACACGUGAGUAACCUGCCCUUAACUCUGGGAUAAGCCUGGGAAACUGGGUCUAAUACCGGAUAGGAGCGUCCACCGCAUGGUGGGUGUUGGAAAGAUUUAUCGGUUUUGGAUGGACUCGCGGCCUAUCAGCUUGUUGGUGAGGUAAUGGCUCACCAAGGCGACGACGGGUAGCCGGCCUGAGAGGGUGACCGGCCACACUGGGACUGAGACACGGCCCAGACUCCUACGGGAGGCAGCAGUGGGGAAUAUUGCACAAUGGGCGCAAGCCUGAUGCAGCGACGCCGCGUGAGGGAUGACGGCCUUCGGGUUGUAAACCUCUUUCAGUAGGGAAGAAGCGAAAGUGACGGUACCUGCAGAAGAAGCACCGGCUAACUACGUGCCAGCAGCCGCGGUAAUACGUAGGGUGCGAGCGUUAUCCGGAAUUAUUGGGCGUAAAGAGCUCGUAGGCGGUUUGUCGCGUCUGUCGUGAAAGUCCGGGGCUUAACCCCGGAUCUGCGGUGGGUACGGGCAGACUAGAGUGCAGUAGGGGAGACUGGAAUUCCUGGUGUAGCGGUGGAAUGCGCAGAUAUCAGGAGGAACACCGAUGGCGAAGGCAGGUCUCUGGGCUGUAACUGACGCUGAGGAGCGAAAGCAUGGGGAGCGAACAGGAUUAGAUACCCUGGUAGUCCAUGCCGUAAACGUUGGGCACUAGGUGUGGGGACCAUUCCACGGUUUCCGCGCCGCAGCUAACGCAUUAAGUGCCCCGCCUGGGGGAGUACGGCCGCAAGGCUAAAUAGG
rnacentral:rRNA from 1 species